rnacentral:misc_RNA from 1 species
CCUCCUUAACGAUAAAUUCGCGUUUUAAACGCCCACACGAGUAAUCAAAUAUUAAGAAAGACCAUAUUGUUAUGUAAAAUUAUUGGUAUGUAAUUUUCUAGUGUAUGCAUAUGCAUACAUAAGAUCACUGCAAUUAAAAAGUAAUUAAUAAUAUUUUAUUAAGUUACUCUCAAAAAAAUAAUUAAGUAACCUUUUUUAAGGUUAUAUGAUCAAGUAAAGGAAGAGCACAAGGCGGAUGCCUUGGCAGCAUAAGGCGAUGAAGGACGUAAUAACCUGCGAUAAGCCUCGGGGAGCUGGUAAAUAAGCUUCGAUCCGAGGAUUUCCGA